rnacentral:rRNA from 1 species
UACGGAGGAUGCGAGCGUUAUCCGGAUUUAUUGGGUUUAAAGGGUGCGUAGGCGGGCUUUUAAGUCAGCGGUAAAAAUUCGGGGCUCAACCCCGUCCGGCCGUUGAAACUGGGGGUCUUGAGUGGGCGAGAAGAAGGCGGAAUGCGUGGUGUAGCGGUGAAAUGCAUAGAUAUCGCGCAGAACCCCGAUUGCGAAGGCAGCCUUCCGGCGCCCUACUGACGCUGAGGCACGAAAGUGCGGGGAUCGAACAGG